rnacentral:rRNA from 1 species
CACCGGCAGCUCAAGUGGUGGCCGUUUUUAUUGGGCCUAAAGCGUUCGUAGCCGGCCUGAUAAGUCUCUGGUGAAAUCCCAUAGCUUAACUGUGGGAAUUGCUGGAGAUACUAUCAGGCUUGAGAUCGGGAGAGGUUAGGGGUACUCCCAGGGUAGGGGUGAAAUCCUAUAAUCCUGGGAGGACCACCUGUGGCGAAGGCGCCUAACUGGAACGAAUCUGACGGUGAGUAACGAAAGCCAGGGGCGCGAACCGG